UACGUAGGGGGCAAGCGUUGUCCGGAAUCAUUGGGCGUAAAGAGCGUGUAGGCGGCUCGAUAAGUCUGCUGUGAAAGUCCAGGGCUCAACCCUGGAAGGCCGGUGGAAACUGUCGGGCUAGAGUUCGGAAGAGGCGAGUGGAAUUCCCGGUGUAGCGGUGAAAUGCGCAGAUAUCGGGAGGAACACCAAUGGCGAAGGCAGCUCGCUGGGACGUUACUGACGCUGAGACGCGAAAAGCGUGGGGAGCAAACA
rnacentral:rRNA from 1 species